rnacentral:lncRNA from 12 species
GUGAGUGAGUGAGUGAGUGAGUGAGUGAGUGAGUGAGUGAGUGAGUGAGUGAGUGAGUCAGUGAGUCAGUGAGUCAGUGAGUCAGUGAGUGAGUGAGUGAGUGAGUGAGUGUGUCCCCACUGUUCUCUGACCCCUCCUUUGGGGGUCUGGACCUGUUUUGGCCACACAAAAGGCUUGCUGACAUCCCCUCGUGCUGGUCUGACGGAGUGCUCCAAACAGCCUGGUUUCCAGCCGUGACACCUCUGCUUUCACCAUCUCCAAAGCUGUCGUGACAUGUCCUGAAGAAGCCUGCAGAAGAAACGCUGGCCCGGUUCCCACUUGGCCGGGCGUGACACUGAAGGUCAGAGGCUCACUCCUGUGGAAUCCCAGUCCUCUUCUGCACGGGUUUCCCUCUCCUUUCCAGUUCCCCUAAUCUGAUAAAGCUCGUGGGGAGAGGCAGCAGAGGGCGGGGGAGGAGAAUGUGAUGUAAGCUCUCGCUCCGGCCAAGGCGCGCCGCAGCCCCGCGGUGCCCCGGGCUUUCUGGUGGCCGCCGCACUUCGGGAGGCUGAAGAAGAAGGCGUGGAGAUCCCCCACGGCUGCGGGAGAGCCUAGCAGGUGAUGUACUCACCUGCCCUGCGGAGAGGAAAGCCGAGCACGGUGUGCAGCUCUUGUCUUGCCGGCUCUACCUGCGCUGUACAAACCUGGAGAAGAACGGGAUGCUCGGAGCCAGCUGCGCCGCUGCGGAGAACUUCCAAGUGCCAUUGAAAACAUCCUGCUAAAGGAAGGAAAGGAAGAGGAGGAUCAUCAUAAUAUGUAUGAGUAUUCUAUUUUAUAUACUAUAUUACAGAAUCCCUACAGAUAAAACAAAAUUGAUGUAUAACUGGGGCCUCAGAAAACCAAAUAACCAGCUCUGUUAACACCUCUGGAGCUGUAGCAGUGCUGAAUGAAUCCCUAGCUGCCUUCCAGCACUGGGAAUAUCCAGUAACACCUGCAGAAGGAUGCAGUUAUGACACCUGGUGUGAGUCCUCACUUGAAUGUUGUGCCCAUACUGCUUUAGGAAAAAAAUGCCAUGUGACUGAUUUUCUAAUGGUACUGGCAGUUCC